GCUGAAUUAUCUUCGGUGGUCCGGUGUGCAGGGCUCAAACCUGUAGCUGCUUAACGGCAAAGUGGUUUGCUUCACCUUCUGGGCA